UACGUAGGGGGCAAGCGUUGUCCGGAAUCAUUGGGCGUAAAGCGCGCGUAGGCGGCUCGGUAAGUCUGCUGUGAAAGUCCAGGGCUCAACCCUGGAAGGCCGGUGGAAACUGUCGGGCUAGAGUCCGGAAGAGGCGAGUGGAAUUCCCGGUGUAGCGGUGAAAUGCGCAGAUAUUGGGAAGAACACCUGAGGCGAAGGCGGGUUGCUGGGCCGACACUGACGCUGAGGCGCGAAAGCCAGGGGAGCGAACGGG
rnacentral:rRNA from 1 species